GGAAUAUUGGACAAUGGGGGCAACCCUGAUCCAGCGACGCCGCGUGGGUGAAGAAGGCCUGCGGGUUGUAAAGCCCUUUCGGUGGGGAAGAAAAGUCUCGGCCUAAUACGCUGGGACCCUGACGUAACCCACUAAAGAAGCACCGGCUAACUCUGUGCCAGCAGCCGCGGUAAUACAGAGGGUGCGAGCGUUAAUCGGAAUUACUGGGCGUAAAGCGCGCGUAGGCGGCUUUUCAAGCCGAUUGUGAAAUCCCCGGGCUUAACCUGGGAACUGCAGUCGGGACUGUCUAGCUAGAGUAUGGGAGAGGGAAGUGGAAUUUCAGGUGUAGCGGUGAAAUGCGUAGAUAUCUGAAGGAACAUCAGUGGCGAAAGCGACUUCCUGGACCAAUACUGACGCUCAUGUGCGAAAGCGUGGGGAGCAAA
rnacentral:rRNA from 1 species